AGCCUGAACGCUGGCGGCGUGGCUAAGACAUGCAAGUCGUACGGGGGUCGCAAGACUCCAGUGGCGAACGGGUGAGUAAAGUAUCGCUAACGUACCCCUAUGUUCGGGAUAGCUGAGGGAAACUUCAGGUAAUACCGGGUGACAUCUUCUUUUCGCAUGGAGAGAAGCUCAAAGGGAAACCGCAAAGGGAGCGGGCGAUAUCGUAUCAGCUAGUUGGUGAGGUAACGGCUCACCAAGGCAAUGACGCGUAGCCGGACUGAGAGGUCGGCCGGCCACAUUGGGACUGAGACACUGCCCAGACUCCUACGGGGGGCUGCAGUAACGAAUCUUCCGCAAUGCACGCAAGUGUGACGGAGCGACGCCGCGUGUGGGAUGAAGUCCUUCGGGAUGUAAACCACUGUCAGGGUAAGAAAGUUCUGAUCUACCCAGAGGAAGGCACGGCUAACUCUGCGCCAGCAGCCGC
rnacentral:rRNA from 1 species